UACAGAGGGUGCGAGCGUUGUUCGGAAUUAUUGGGCGUAAAGCGCUUGUAGGCGGCUUGUUAAGUUCCGUGUGAAAUCCCCAGGCUUAACCUGGGAAGUGCGCGGAAAACUGGCGAGCUUGAGUGCCGGAGAGGGUCGCGGAAUUCCCGGUGUAGAGGUGAAAUUCGUAGAUAUCGUAAGGAAGACCAGUGGCGAAGGCGGGUCUCUGGACAGUUCCUGACACUGAGACACGAAGGCCAGGGGAGCAAACGGG
rnacentral:rRNA from 1 species